rnacentral:rRNA from 1 species
AUUGAACGCUGGCGGCAGGCCUAACACAUGCAAGUCGGACGGUGGCACAGAGAGCUUGCUCUCGGGUGACGAGUGGCGGACGGGUGAGUAAUGUCUGGGGAUCUGCCCGAUAGAGGGGGAUAACCACUGGAAACGGUGGCUAAUACCGCAUAACGUCGCAAGACCAAAGAGGGGGACCUUCGGGCCUCUCACUAUCGGAUGAACCCAGAUGGGAUUAGCUAGUAGGCGGGGUAACGGCCCACCUAGGCGACGAUCCCUAGCUGGUCUGAGAGGAUGACCAGCCACACUGGAACUGCGACACGGUCCCGACUCCUACGGGAGGCAGCAGUGGGGAAUAUUGCACAAUGGGCGCAAGCCUGAUGCAGCCAUGCCGCGUGUAUGAAGAAGGCCUUCGGGUUGUAAAGUACUUUCAGCGGGGAGGAAGGCGAUGUGGUUAAUAACCGCAUUGAUUGACGUUACCCGCAGAAGAAGCACCGGCUAACUCCGUGCCAGCCGCCGCCGUAA